rnacentral:rRNA from 1 species
GAUGAACGCUGGCGGCGUGCCUAAUACAUGCAAGUCGAGCGAACAGACGAGGAGCUUGCUCCUCUGACGUUAGCGGCGGACGGGUGAGUAACACGUGGAUAACCUACCUAUAAGACUGGGAUAACUUCGGGAAACCGGAGCUAAUACCGGAUAAUAUAUUGAACCGCAUGGUUCAAUAGUGAAAGACGGUUUUGCUGUCACUUAUAGAUGGAUCCGCGCCGCAUUAGCUAGUUGGUAAGGUAACGGCUUACCAAGGCGACGAUGCGUAGCCGACCUGAGAGGGUGAUCGGCCACACUGGAACUGAGACACGGUCCAGACUCCUACGGGAGGCAGCAGUAGGGAAUCUUCCGCAAUGGGCGAAAGCCUGACGGAGCAACGCCGCGUGAGUGAUGAAGGUCUUCGGAUCGUAAAACUCUGUUAUUAGGGAAGAACAAAUGUGUAAGUAACGAUGCACGUCUGGACGGUACCUAAGCAGAAAGCCACGGCUAACUACGU